GUCCCGGGGCACACCCUGCGCACGCGCGGACCCCCGCCCGGGCGCCGGGGAGCUCUGCGCGGAAACGACCCCUCGCCUCUGAGAGGGGUCGGACUGGGGCCUCCGCCUCAUCGCUGUUCGCCCCUUCUCGCUCGCGCGCACACCCAAGCACGCUCCCUGGCUUGCGCAAGAACUGGAGGAGUGAGCCUAGCUCGUGCCGAGGACUGGACUCGGGCCUAAACUUCAGGAAGGCAAGAUUUUUUGUCUGUUUUGUUUCCUGAUAUGUUCCCAACAUCUAGAAGAAGGUCUAGCAUUUUCUAAGUCUUCGAUUAAUAGCUUUUUAAUGAAAUUACACUCAAUAAAUGUUUUAAGCAAGGAUAUGGCCUUAUUUACAUUUUGGGGGAGAUGAUUCUGGAUGCUAUGUAAAAAAAUGUUUUAAAUACGAAUACACUUUUCUACAUUGGUCUACAUCACCUGCACAAUCUAAAACCAAAAAUUGACCAGGUAGAUGUUAAGUUAGUUCCCUUUCCUUCUCUUCC
rnacentral:lncRNA from 1 species